UGAAAACUACGGGAUGAGUUCUAAACGA
rnacentral:piRNA from 1 species